AUACGGAGGGUGCAAGCGUUAUCCGGAAUCAUUGGGUUUAAAGGGUCCGUAGGCGGGCUAAUAAGUCAGGGGUGAAAUCCCACAGCUUAACUGUGGAACUGCCCUUGAUACUGUUGGUCUUGAGUUACAGUGAAGUGGUUAGAAUGUGUAGUGUGGCGGUGAAAUGCAUAGAGAUUACACAGAAUACCGAUUGCGAAGGCAGAUCACUAACUGUAUACUGACGCUAAUGGACGAAAGCGUGGGGAGCGAACAGGAUUAGAAACCCUAGUAGUCC
rnacentral:rRNA from 1 species